rnacentral:ncRNA from 1 species
GAUAAAUUUUUUAUGUUUUUGUAAAUUUAUUAUAAAUUUAUUUUACAUAUAAAUUUUAGUAUUAAAUUUUAAUUAUUUUGAUAAUAAUUAAUUAAAUAUUGUAGUAAUUAAAAUUAAAAAUUUAAGAAAUUAAGAUUUAGUAAUAUUAAAAUUAAUAACUAAUUUUGUGCCAGCAGUUGCGGUUAAACAAAAGUUAAAUUAAAUUAUUUCAGGUUAUAAUUAAUAAUAAAAAAUUAAAUUAAAUAUUAAUUUAUUAGGUGAAAUUUUAAUUAUAAUUAAAAUUUAUAUAAAAAUUAUGAUUUAAUAAAUUUUAAUUUAAACUAGGAUUAGAUACCCUAUUAUUAAAAAUUUAAUUUAAAGUACUAAAAUAGUAAAUAAUAUAUUAUUGAAACUUAAAUAAUAUGGCGGUAUUUUAGUUCAUUUAGAGGAAUCUGUCUAAUAAUUGAUAAUCCACGAAUAAAUUUACUUAAUUUAUAAUUUUGUAUAUCAUUGUUAAAAAAAUAUUUUUAAAUAAUUAAUAAUAUUUUAAUAUUUAAAAUAAAAUUUAAUUCAGAUCAAGAUGCAGAUUAUAAUUGAGAUUAAGAUGGAUUACAAUAAAUUUAUUUAAACAAAAAAAAAUUUUGUAAAAUAUAAUAGAAGGUGGAUUUAAAUGUAAUUUUAAUUAAUUUAUUGAAAUGAUUAAAAAUUAAAAUAUGUACAUAUUGCCCGUCACUUUCAUUUUAAAAUUGAAAUAAGUCGUAACAAAGUAGAGGUACUGGAAAGUGUUUCUAGAAUGAA